rnacentral:lncRNA from 1 species
CUGUAGAUGAUGUACAGAAGUAAAACCAGUAAGUAGAAAGCAGGCUUCUUGAAUUUUUUAUGAAUAGUUGUGAAAAUGGAACUUCUUUCGGUAUAUGGCUUUCACUACCACUGAAUUUGUUUCCUGCUUCACUAUGAUGAAAGGUGGCAAUUCUGAAUAGAUUAAGGACAAGUUUGUGUGUGGGCCUGGGGUGGGUGAGGUCUCUGAAUGGGACUUUGUGAUUAAUAAAUGUGAUUAAAUCCAGAAUUGCAUGUCAAUUUUUAUUUUGUCCUAGGCUCUGCGACCUAAGAUUUCAUAUUGAUAGAAAUGACAUCGGCUUUUUAUUUGCCAAUUCUACAUACACAGCUACCAGAUUAUUAAGGUGCAGCUACUCAUUGAAGACCAAGGGAAAGGACAUUUUAAAGAUUCAUUUUCAUUUUCUGCAGAAGUUAAAACCUCACCCUAGGGUACAGAGAAAAGAACCUGACUCACUUCAUUUGCCGUCAGUUUAUAACCCUGAUACAGGCUGCACUCAGAAUGGAUAAAUGGUCUUUGUCUUUAUCUUAUUAAUUGGAUUAAAUGCAAUUGCUUAGGAAAGAAAUAGUUCUUAUAGCGACUUCAAGCAAUAGACAUCAGAUGAUCUUGGGAGGUAUGCCAUAGCAAACUAGGAAAAUGUGCAGACAUUCUUUCUUCGACGCAUCUUUUGACAACUGAAGAUUGUUUAAAAUGUCAACUGUGAAGACAUAUUAUUUCAUGUACCCUGAAUAGCAGGUAUACUGAAGUGCCAAAAUUUCCCAAUGAUUAUCAUGUCUGUCUAAGAAGAGCAAUAAUAUAAAUGUUACUUGAAGAUAGUAAAAUUGUUUUCUUACCUCAGAAAAACUUCGCAAA